UCUGUGAGUUCAAGUUCAGCUUGAAAUAGUGCAUUCCAGCCCAUCCUGGGUUGCAAUGUGAGAUACUCUUUCAAAUAAACAAGAUCUGAGACAUAUCUCAGUUGAUAGAGUGCUUGCCUAGCAUGCAUGAAGCCUUGGUUUCAAUCCUGAGCACAGCAUGAAUGGCGUGUGGUAGAUCACACCUAUAAUAACCUAGAUUCAGGAAGUAGAAGCAGGAGGAUCAAUUCUACGUCAUCCUUAGUUGUAUAGAGCCAGAUUGAGCUAGAGAUCUGCCACAAACAAACAAACAAACAAACAAACAAACAAACAGAAUAAGAUGGAAGAGGAGAGAAAAAGCUGUGACCUACAGGUCUGUACCCUUUGUGGGGACUCUGUAUCAACAUAAACUCUGAUUAAGGUAUCAGGAUCACAGUGUUUGCUGAACCAGCUGCGUGAAGCCAGAAAUAGUGCCAGAGACCCCAUGGACUAAGAGCAUGCUAUGGAAGGCUAAGCUGAAUUUUGGAAGGAGAUGGUUCCUCUGUGCUCACAGGGAAGGAGCAAGAAAAGAUUGACAGCUAUCAGGUCCACUCAGGAAGUGGCAGGUCACAGAGGGUGGAGCAGCCUGAACAGAAAAGGAAAUACUUUCCAGGGCUCUGCCAGGAGUGGGAAGGUUGUAAAACACUUAGCUGAAGGCUAAGGGACAAGUGGCAUCUUAAUCCAUGGCACUGGCUGACGGUGUGCCCCUAACUGGAAGUGAUAGGAACCAGUGCCCCUGAGUCCUGGAGCAUCUUCAGAGCACUUCCUGUACCAGUUUAUCUGGAGCCUCCCCGGGGACCAGGAAGCAGAGGACAGAAAGGAGAACUCGGCAUGUGAACACUGGACUUUCUAGAAGGACACUGCCCCUCUCCUCUUGGGCUUGCUGUGGGCAGGAGACAUCAGAGCUGAAGAAAUGACCCCAGGAGUGAUGGGAGUGUGGCUGCCUUCAGCUCUGCUCCUCUUGCAGGUCCCAGGCUGUGUCCCUCUGCGUGGCCCCAGCAAGGUGACAGGCACUGUGGGGGAGUCCCUGAGUGUGUUGUGUCAGUACGAGGAGGAACACAAGACUAACAACAAAUACUGGUGCAGAGCAUCACUGCUAUCACCAUGUAAAGAGAUUGUCAGGACCAGAGCCUCAAAAGAAGCUAGGAAUGGCCGAGUUUCCAUCAGGGACCGUCCAGCCAACCUCACCUUCACAGUGACCUUGGAGAACCUCACCUUAGAGGAUGCAGGCAUCUAUAAAUGUGUGGUGGAAAUACCAUUUAUCAAUGGCUCCUUCUGGGAAACCAUUCCCACCUUGGGGAUCGAUGACUCCUUCAAAGUUGUGGUGUCGGUGGUCCCAGUCACAGGCUCUAGCCCCGAGAACAGAGCAAGUACCCUGGGGUCCCCCACAUCCUCACCAGUGCACACUCAGCCCAGCGUGACCACAGAGGACACAACUCCUGGUCCCAGCCUACAACCCCGAUUGGGGCACAGCAAUGACACCCAGACCCAGACCUGCUGAGAUGGAGUUAGUUUCCUGUCAAGAGGUUACAACACAAACACACCGAAGUCUGGGGAGACAGCUGUGCUGGUAAAGGAUCUGAGUUUGAGCCUCAUCACCCACAUGUCAGGCAUGGCGGCAUACACUCUAAUUACCUGAGCUGUGGAGGUGGAGACAGGAGGAUCCCUGAGAAUCACUGGGCAGCCAAGCCUAGACUACUUGACAAGCUCCAAGUCAAUGUCCCUGCAAAGCAGAAUCUUCUUCAAGGUCCUGGUCUUUCUGGAGGUGCCCCUGCUCCUGAGCAUGUUCAGUGCUGUCCUCUGGG